GAGUUUGAUCCUGGCUCAGGAUGAACGCUGGCGGCGUGCUUAACACAUGCAAGUCGAGCGAAGCGCUCACGCGGAAUUUUUCGGAAGGAAGCGGGAGUGACUUAGCGGCGGACGGGUGAGUAACGCGUGGGUAACCUGCCCCAUACCGGGGGAUAACGGUUAGAAAUGACCGCUAAUACCGCGUAAGCGCGCGAGGCCGCAUGGCCCCGGGCGAAAAACUCCGGUGGUAUGGGAUGGGCCCGCGUCUGAUUAGCUAGUUGGCGGGGUAAAGGCCCACCAAGGCGACGAUCAGUAGCCGACCUGAGAGGGUGGCCGGCCACAUUGGGACUGAGACACGGCCCAAACUCCUACGGGAGGCAGCAGUGGGGAAUAUUGCGCAAUGGGGGAAACCCUGACGCAGCAACGCCGCGUGAGUGAAGAAGUAUCUCGGUAUGUAAAGCUCUAUCAGCGGGGAAGAAGGAAGGCGGUACCCGACUAAGAAGCCCCGGCUAACUACGUGCCAGCAGCCGCGGUAAUACGUAGGGGGCGAGCGUUAUCCGGAUUUACUGGGUGUAAAGGGAGCGUAGACGGCGUCGCAAGUCUGAAGUGAAAGCCCGUGGCUCAACCGCGGAACCGCUUUGGAAACUGCGAGGCUGGAGUGCUGGAGAGGUAAGCGGAAUUCCUGGUGUAGCGGUGAAAUGCGUAGAUAUCAGGAGGAACACCGGUGGCGAAGGCGGCUUACUGGACAGUGACUG
rnacentral:rRNA from 1 species